GAGAAAAAUAAGCGCGUAGAUCAUGCCAAUGACUGUUUCUUGUUUUAACAUGCAUGAAUCUAAACUUCAAGUCGGCUGACUAAAAACCGUAGCGUGUGCGUCCAGCUUAACACAACCAGAAUGGAAACGCCGAAACAGGAAAAGUAGAAAAGAUUAACAAAAAACUAAAACUAAUGCAUUUGUUGAGAAUUGUCGUAAUAUUAAUUAAUUAGGUUAAUUCCCGUAUAUAGUAAA